ACGCCGUCAGGCGCGGAGGAAGUGAUGAGCGUGCUGGCCGGCAUACCGGCGCGGAUUUUGGGGCAUCGCGCUGUUUACCGCGGUGAUCAACCUGCUGAUGCUGGCCCCGGCGCUGUACAUGCUGCAGGUCUACGAUCGCGUGUUGCCGUCGGGCAACCGCAUGACGCUGGCGAUGCUGACCCUGAUGGUGGUCGGCCUUUACCUGUUUAUGGGGCUGCUGGAGUGUGGCGCACAGCUUUACCGCGCUGGCGAUUUUCGCGCUGUUGUUCGGCGCGGCCAACGGCGGCUGUAUUGCGCUGUACCCGGCAGUGGCCAGUACAUGGUUCGGCACCGCCAAUCUGGGCGCAUUCUGGGGGCAUUGUAUAUCGCCGGUGGGGAUCGCCGCCGUUGGCGGGGGCAGCGCCGCCGGUUGGCUGUAUGACCUGUAUCAGAGUUACACGUUGUCUAUUGCGUUGGCCGGCAUGGCGGCGCUGCUGUCUGCGUUGGGGAUCGUCUUGGCUUCUCGCUGUACUUCCCGGAUGGGGAUGAGGGAGGAGUCAAAUGCUAUUGCCUAAUGACUUGCGCUCUGCCUUGGCGUUGUUGGGUAGGGGAGCGUUCUGUAAGCCGUUGAAGGUGGCCUGUGAGGGUUGCUGGAGGUAUCAGAAGUGCGAAUGCUGACAUAAGUAACGAUAAAGCGGGUGAAAAGCCCGCUCGCCGGAAGACCAAGGGUUCCUGUCCAACGUUAAUCGGGGCAGGGUGAGUCGACCCCUAAGGCGAGGCUGAAAAGCGUAGUCGAUGGGAAACAGGUUGGUGGUGUAUUGAUUGUAAUCCUUGCUGUCCGGAUUGAGAUCUUUACGGUCACGCUCACGUUG
rnacentral:rRNA from 1 species